rnacentral:lncRNA from 1 species
CACACGAGUCAGAGAGUGUAUUUUAUUUACGAUUAAAUAUUUCUAAAGUUUUAUUUUGUAUAACUUGUAGAACACGUUUGAUUCUCUGUCAGUCUGCACAAGCCUCCAUACCUGUCUGUAUUCUCAGAGGUCAAUAACCUCAAAUAUCCCCACAUAACUUGAACAUCCUUUCCCUCCAUUUCCGUUCCCAUUCCUGGGAAUUUCCUCCCAUCCAUCACCAUUUCUGUUGUCCUUCCCCUCUCUUACAGGCUCCUCUUAAGCCAGUUUCCACUCUGGGAGCCAUGGUGCCUCCCUGGGCCCCGCUGUACUCCCUGUGCCUCCGUGUGUCUCCGUUUGCCUCUUUCCACUUCUUUCCCAGAUGCCCUGUGGACAAGGCUGGAAACAGCACACAAGGGAAUGAUUAGCUGAAAUUUGGCCUUGGGAACUGUGGAGACCAACAAGCUUGCAACCACUUCCUAAGGACUCAGAUUUUAUUAACCCAUUCUAAAUUCACCCCUCCCCUUCCUUGCCUGUUACCAGCCUCCCUGACUGUUUGUUUUCUUUCCCUUUCUUUUCUUUUAGUCAAGAUUUACUUUUUAGACCAAUGAUUAUAUCAAAAUAGAGUUCGUGGGAAUGCAGCUUUGAGAGCAGGGGUUGUCUCACAAUCCUCCUUUCUCUGUGUUUGAGUUUGCUCCAGUUCUCAUAAUGCAACCACUAAGUCCCAAGAAUAAUUUCUUUCACUAAGGAAGUAGGUGAAAUUAGACUCCAGGGUAGGGAGCUGCUUGCUGCCUGGACCUAGGACCCCAGAGCUGGCCUUUCCAAGCCACAGACAUUUUCUCCCUGGAUAUGUUGCACACAUGCAUGUUCAGACUACUGAAUUAAAGUCAUCAUUUUAGUACGAUACUACUUUUUUGGAAUUACAAGGUGUUGGCUAUCUUUAGUAAUUUCGGAGACUGUAUUGAAUCAAUUCUUAGCUGGUUCUUUAAAAUGUGUAUUCUGCAUCCUUCUGCAGCACAUUUUUGAACUAAUUCAGUCAUUAUUAGACUUAACAUUAACUGCUGGAGCCAGUCUAAUACUACAGCAGAAGGUCCUUCCUCAGUCAUUUGAUGCUGGUAGAUGAGAUGCUGGGGUAUUUCAUGCUGGGCCUCCAUUCAGAAAUUCCCAGAGAGCCAGCCAUGUACACUUUGUUAAUUGGAAAACCAAGUCUAUCAUCCAAUGGGACCACACCAACUCUGCUUUCCAGAAGUUAUCUUUGCAGAGUUUGUGCAUUCCCUGAGCCUUUCUUAAUUAAACAACUCUGCUCACAGCAGUGUGUACAGCUACUGCUACGUGAGGCCCCUUGGGCAGUUAACCUGGGUUGCCUUUCUCCUUGCUGGGACUGGCUAGGCCCAUCCUUUUCCUACAGUUGAAGUCUUUGAUAGUUGGAAUUUUGCAAAUUUCAGUGCAUGUUGUGCAUUCACAGAAGCAUAUCUGAAGAACGUAAUCAAAAUCAACGCUACCACAAAGAUUCUUUUUUCCUCCAAAUAUGCAUAGAGAGACUGUGUUUUGACUUUUUUUUUUCAUGAAGUAAAUGGAAUCCUAAUUCAAGACAAAUUGGAAAGAUAAAAUGUAAAAUUCCUUUUUGUAAAAAAAUCAAGGCUGCUCCUUAGUUUGGUUUGGAGUUUCCCUGUCGCAGAAUGAAAUGGAUAAUUAAAUGCAUAUAGUUCAAUCUGAUUACUAACUAGAUAAUUACCCUUCAUAGACGCUUCAGAUGCGGUGGGUACAGGAGUUUGAAUUAUAAUUCCAUUCUCACAAGAUUCCCCUUCUGUGACUGUUUCAGUAAUUCUCGUUUCGACGUGGCAAUAGUUUACAGUUGUGCCGCCUUCUGUGUAUACCACAUGAAGAAGACUUUCCUGGUGAUCAAAAGAAACUCCCCUCCCUUUUGGGUGCCUGAAAAGUUCACCUCUAUUUUAGUUCCUUGCACCAUUAAGUGUUUUAAGUACUUCUCUAAGAUGAAGACAUCACACUCGCUUAAAAUUAUUUGCUACAUCGCAUUUUCUCGCAUUGUAUCCCAACCUCAGAUAAGCACUGGUUUAGAAUGUGAGUCAUGGAGAGACUUCCUUGGGAAGGCACUCCCUAGAGAGGGAGAUGAGGCCUCUGAGCUCCACGGGCCACAGAUAGGACUGAGCAGGAGAAGUGAAGUUUUGUCUUUGUUCUGUACUUUAUUGUGGUCCCCUAAUUAAUCAGCAAAAACUUGUUGAAUUGGGUUUCUGUCUGGAAGGGAUUAAGUGAUACACACAAAACUAUAGCUCCCUGUCUUUUUAGACUGUUCAAUGAAGCAGGAACUAAAGCACAGUUGGUACAGUUGUGCUUUUAUGACUCUGCAGCCCAAUAACAGGAAGGGUGCCUGGGGGAACAGCAGGCAUCAGGCAGAAGGAAGAUUCAGUUGAUUUUUAAAUUAUGAAUAAACCACUGACUCUCCUAAAAAUGAUCAGCAUUCAUUGUAUAAAAUGUAUUUAGCUGUCAUGUUUUCCAUUGUAUUAUGCACAUGCUGUUUUUAGUAAAUACGAUACUCUAUCACAUGUCCAUAUAUAUUAAUGUACACACUUAUAUCCCAUUACCCCAUUGACACCCAUGCUUUCAGCAUUGAACUAACCAGUAGAACUAUAUUUAUUUAUGGUUGGAGUACUUACUCAUUUAAUGUAGACCUUGCCUGAUUUUAAAAAGAGCUGUAAAAUUUAUACACUAAGUGCCAUCCAUAUUUUUUCAAAAGAAUAUUCUCCUGGGGCUGGAUGCCUUGGAGUUUGAGAGCAUAUGCUGUUCUCAUAGAGGAUCCAAGUUUGGUUCUUAGCACCUUUGUCAGGUGACCCACAGCUGCUGUGACUUCUACUCCAGGGGAUCCAGCGUGUUCUGGCCUUCAAGGAUACCUGCAUACAUAUGUCAAGUACAUGUACAUAAAUAAAAGC